CGGGGUGUUGCCUAGAGGCUAAGGCACUUGCUUUGGGAGCAAGGAAUCGUGCGUUCGAAUCGCACCACCCCGA
rnacentral:tRNA from 1 species